GAGACGCGGACGGUAGUUCCAUAGGCGAACGGGCGGGUGUUAUGGUCGUGUAUUAUAGAGAUGCUCGUGGUCCGACCCCCGUGACCUGAACGUGACCGCCAGAAAUCUAACGGUUUUAGUCUCCAGGAUCACUCUAGGGGCAUCGCGGUCGGUUGUCUUGGGGUUCAGUCAUCUACUAAAUCGCGUGAACACCGACGUGCGGGCCAAUCAGGCCACUUCACCAGCAAUGAAAAAAAAAAAGAGUGUUACAUUGAAAGUAUAUAACCACCAGUCCCGCAUAUGUACUAUUUACUACCAUAGUUAGACUGUUGAAAGAUGGAAGUCACUGAAAAGGUUAGCCAGAACAGAAUUGUAGGCCGGUCCUACGUUAGCUCAGACAGGGAGGUCCCAUGGACCUCCUGAAUUUGCAUAAUUUUAUAUAUAUAUUUAGACGAUCAUCGCAGAUGAUGAUCAACAUUGGUAAAAUUAAUCAUUCGAAUACUUUCCGUGCAAAAAAUCGAGAAAUCCAGCCCUGAAUUCGAUUGUUGCAAUUUUGCCGUGUUUGCACACUCUCAGAAACGAAACGGAUAAAUUUCCGCUUACGUCCAAUCUUACCCUUACUAAGCGUAAAGUUCGACAAAAUCGCAGGCGCCGUAUCCGUCAAGCUCUGUUUUAUUCCUAGUACCCGUAAACGCGCUCGCUGUAAGCGUAAAGGGCGGAGUUUUAUGCGUAAAUGGGACGGAGGAUAUGAUUUACUCAUAUCCUGACGCAUACGAUUUCGUCUUGACGGAUAAACUGAGGCUCUGCGUUAAGUAUUAGCUCUUUACGCCUAUAUUGACGCAUAUUGUUUUUCAAUUGUUAUACGGGCCCUGCCUUCUGAGAACACGUGCAUGGUUCCGUGUGCAAAGCGUCUUUCAUUUCGCCUGGUUAACGGUCACUCUCGCUUCUGACGUCUCAUAUUAUCCAUUUACGCUUAUAUUGACGCUUAUUGUUUUUCAAUUGUUAUACGGGCCCUGCCUUCUGAGAACACGUGCAUGGGUCCGUGUGCAAAGCGUCUUUCCUUUCGCCUGGUUAACGGUCGCUCUCGCUUCUGGCGUCUCAUAUUAUCCAUUUACGCUUAUAUUGACGCUUAUUGUUUUUCAAUUGUUAUACGGGCCCUGCCUUCUGAGAACACGUGCAUGGGUCCGUGUGCAAAGCGUCUUUCCUUUCGCCUGGUUAACGGUCGCUCUCGCUUCUGGCGUCUCAUAUUAUCCAUUUACGCUUAUAUUGACGCUUAUUGUUUUUCAAUUGUUAUACGGGCCCUGCCUUCUGAGAACACGUGCAUGGGUCCGUGUGCAAAGCGUCUUUCCUUUCGCCUGGUUAACGGUCGCUCUCGCUUCUGGCGUCUCAUAUUAUCCAUUUACGCUUAUAUUGACGCUUAUUGUUUUUCAAUUGUUAUACGGGCCCUGCCUUCUGAGAACACGUGCAUGGGUCCGUGUGCAAAGCGUCUUUCCUUUCGCCUGGUUAACGGUCGCUCUCGCUUCUGGCGUCUCAUAUUAUCCAUUUACGCUUAUAUUGACGCGUAUUGUUUUUCAAUUGUUAUACGGGCCCUGCCUUCUGAGAACACGUGCAUGGUUCCGUGUGCAAAGCGUCUUUCCUUUCGCCUGGUUAACGGUCACUCUCGCUUCUGACGUCUCAUAUUAUCCAUUUACGCUUAUAUUGACGCUUAUUGUUUUUCAAUUGUUAUACGGGCCCUGCCUUCUGAGAACACGUGCAUGGGUCCGUGUGCAAAGCGUCUUUCCUUUCGCCUGGUUAACGGUCGCUCUCGCUUCUGGCGUCUCAUAUUAUCCAUUUACGCUUAUAUUGACGCUUAUUGUUUUUCAAUUGUUAUACGGGCCCUGCCUUCUGAGAACACGUGCAUGGGUCCGUGUGCAAAGCGUCUUUCCUUUCGCCUGGUUAACGGUCGCUCUCGCUUCUGGCGUCUCAUAUUAUCCAUUUACGCUUAUAUUGACGCUUAUUGUUUUUCAAUUGUUAUACGGGCCCUGCCUUCUGAGAACACGUGCAUGGGUCCGUGUGCAAAGCGUCUUUCCUUUCGCCUGGUUAACGGUCGCUCUCGCUUCUGGCGUCUCAUAUUAUCCAUUUACGCUUAUAUUGACGCGUAUUGUUUUUCAAUUGUUAUACGGGCCCUGCCUUCUGAGAACACGUGCAUGGUUCCAUGUGCAAAGCGUCUUUUCCUUCGCUUCGUUAACGGUCGCUCUGGCUUCUGGCGUCUCACGGUCUCACGUCAUGCACGGUCUAGCAAAUGUAAGUUGUCACAUUUUGCGCUGGGUGUCUGUAGUUUUUUUUUAGUUUCAUAUUUCAUCUGUGUCAAACUUAUCACAGGAAGAGAUGGCAUCGAACGAGACAACGUCGCACGAUAUGGGGGUAAGGCACUCGGACGACGCUGCUUGAACAGUGGUGAUUCUCCACGCUAUCUCCGCGCUACAAAUUCGUAUGCGUACGCCCAUUGUCCAUCAGGUGCAUGGAGGAAGGAAAGCUUUCCUUUCUCCAUGAUCAGCAUCCCAAGGAACAGGACACGACACGCUCUUCGUAGCCAUGCUGGACUGCAUAAUACCACGCAUGCACCCUCAGCUGCAUUAGGUGGUGCUCCUACAAUUUCUACUGUGCGACACAUUCUGAGAAGAAGUACACGAGACUCUACUCCCUCACGCAUGUACAGCCAGUACAACUCACCCGUAAAGAUGACUUGUACGCAUUCAGCAGCUGCUGAACGGGGCUUCGCCAAACAGGAGAUGACGCAGUUUUGUGGAGAACAACGCGGCGAUACAAGAGGCUCGCUCUUCCUUCUCAUGGGUGUACGGAAGAUACAGCUCAGGGGAAAUGAUGCUCGAAGCACCCUUCAGAGCGUAACACAGCAGUUUGCUCAUGUCAUCAAUGCAUACCUGCAGCACAUGUCCCACUUGCUGGGCCAUGCUAACUAAUAAGUUAGUUGUUCAAACGAAAAAAAAAAAGAAGAAAUAAACGGAGCAGGCUGGGCA